UCUUUAGUAUAUGAUUUUGAUACGUAUUUUAAUCGUAAAAUUGUUAUAGUAAUUUUUCCAAAAAGCACGGGUUUAUAUUAAUUAUUGAGCUGAAAAAUAAACAUUUUCAUUAGAUGAACGAAUAAUAUUUUAAGUCUCAAAAUGUUCUUUGAAAACGAAUAUUAUGUACUUCACAGAUAUAAAUUUAAUCUUAUUUUUUUUGCCCAUGAUAGUUCUUAAAUAAUGUUUCUAAUACUUACAUUUAAACAUGUAAAAAAUUGUGAAUUUAGUGAUU